AGAAAGUGCUGAGAUGCGUGCAAGUGUGUAUCGAUGAAUAUCUUAGAAAUUGUCCAUAAAGACGGAGGAAAAAUAUAAGAAAUGGAAAUUGCUAGUCCGCAGUCGUGUCGAAAAGUAAUAGCCAAAGUACUAAGAAAGAUGCAUACAAAUUUGAAGCUUUAGCUAUUCCUGUGAAGUCGUUCCAACACUGAACACCAUCCUGUAGUCAAACGUGGAGAAUUCCUACCUCACGUAACUUUCAAACCAUAACCUUAAAGUUUCGGAUGUUUCGAACUUGUAACAGUGACUUUAAAUUAAUCCAUAUCUUGUCGUUAUAAAGUAACCAGACAAGAAUCGCAAAUCGAACUUGAUAGAUCGUAAUUGCCGUGCUUGUGAACUAUGAACUUAAUACGUGACGAGAUGAAACCUAAAUAACAAUCGCUCGAUUCAAUCCAAUAAAAUACGUUCGUAUGUAUUGGUAAUAAUAUCUGUGCAUUGAUGUACAGUGUACAUUAAUAGACGGUACAACUGUAGAAUUAUUAUUAGCGAUUAUUAAUUUGGGAUUAUUAUUGUAUAUGGCGAAGAUAUUCAUAAAUGAGUAUCGUCAAAAUUAAAAUUAAAAAAUUUCACUGCCAUUAAGAAAAAUAUGAAUACAAAUGUAAAAUAAUUAACCGAUUGGACGAAAUGAUUUAAUUUGACAUCGACGAUAAACUUUUGAAUGUAAAAUGUUUGUAUAUUGUAUAUUACAUGAAAUGCCCACACGCUAUCAAUAACACGUGUUCCACUGCAAAUAACUAGUCCAGAUAAUUUUUUAAUGAAUAAAUUACUCCCGAAUGGAGAAACUAUAAAAA